rnacentral:rRNA from 1 species
AACGAACGCUGGCGGCGUGGAUAAGACAUGCAAGUCGAACGCUGGUUGUCAGGUAGCAAUAUUUGGCAGUCGGAGUGGCGCAAGGGUGAGUAACACGUGGGAAAUUUGCCGCGAAGACCGGAAUAACCCCGAGAAAUCGGGGCUAAUGCCGGAUGUGAACCCGGUGGGGCAACCUGCCGGAUUCAAAGCUGGGGACCGCAAGGCCUGGCACUUCGUGAUAAUCCCGCGGCCUAUCAGCUAGUUGGCGGGGUAACGGCCCACCAAGGCGAAGACGGGUAGCUGGUCUGAGAGGACGACCAGCCACACUGGAACUGAGACACGGUCCAGACACCUACGGGUGGCUG